rnacentral:rRNA from 1 species
AUGUCGCCUGUCGCGGCGCACCGAGCCUCUCCGGCCAUGUGGUCCCCGCAGCCUCCGCCGCCCCGCCUCCAGCUCCGGCGACCGGCGGGGACGCCCCUUCACUCCUCGCGCCGCCUCAGCCGCAUCGCCGCAUCGCAGGAGGACCCGCUGACCGCGCUGACCCGAGUGCUGUGGGGCCGCGCGCUGCCGCCGUCGCAGCUCGUGCUCGCCGUGCGCCACGGCUGGACCUCGGCGUGGCGGCUCCUCAUGCGCCAGCUCGCGCCCUCCGACCCGGCCACGGGCGCCUUCACCCGCACCCCGUCCCGCUUCCCGGCCGUCGCACAGCCCGCGCCCGGCCCCGGCGCGCGCCUCCACCUCUACGUCGGCCUCCCCUGCCCCUGGGCCCACCGCGCGCUCCUCGUCCGGGCCCUCCUCGGCCUGGGCCCCCGCCUCCCGGUCUCCGUCGCCGUCCCCGGCGACGACGGCGCGUGGUCCUUCACGCCGGAGAGCCCCGACGCGCUCUACGGCUCCCGCAGGCUCCGGGACGUGUACGCCGCCCGGCGCGGCGGGUUCGAGGGCCGGGCGUCCGUGCCCAUGCUCUGGGACUCCGACCGCCGCGAGGUGGUCUGCAACGAGAGCAUCGAGAUCGCCAAGUUCCUCUGCACGCUCGCCGACGACGGCGCCCUCGACCUCUGGCCGCCGGAGCACCGCCAGGAGAUCGACCGCUGGUACGGCGUCAUCUACCCGAGCGUCAACAACGGCGUGUACCGGUGCGGGUUCGCGCAGAGCCAGGCGGCCUACGACGCGGCGGCGGCCGAGCUGUUCGACGCGCUGGACAUGCUCGAGGGCCACCUCUCCGGGUCCCGGUACCUGUGCGCCGGCGCCGGCGUGACGCUGGCCGACGUGUGCCUCUUCACCACGCUCAUACGGUUCGACCUGGUGUACAACCCGCUGUUCCGGUGCAGCCGGAGGAAGCUGGUGGAGUACCCCAGCCUCCACGCCUACAUGCGCGAGAUCUACCAGCUGCCCGCCGCCGCCGAGACCUGCGACAUGGCCGCCAUCGCCGACGGGUACUUCGGGACGCUCUUCCCGCUCAACCCCGGCGGGAUCCUGCCCGUUGUGCCGGCGAGCUGCAGCCGGGAAGCGCUCAUGAAACCUCAUGGCAGAGAGGCAUUGCCUUCUGCUGCUGCUGCUGCUGCUGCUGAUGGUAGACAGCUAGGAGCAGCUGCUAGUAUUGUUGGCUAG